CAGCCGCCGCGGUAAUACGAAGGGUGCAAGCGUUACUCGGAAUUACUGGGCGUAAAGCGUGCGUAGGUGGUGGUUUAAGUCCGUUGUGAAAGCCCUGGGCUCAACCUGGGAAUUGCAGUGGAUACUGGGUCACUAGAGUGUGGUAGAGGAUAGUGGAAUUUCCGGUGUAGCAGUGAAAUGCGUAGAGAUCGGAAGGAACGUCUGUGGCGAAGGCGACUAUCUGGGCCAACACUGACACUGAGGCACGAAAGCGUGGGGAGCAAACAGGAUUAGAUACCCCUGUAGUCCCUGUCUCUUAUAC
rnacentral:rRNA from 1 species